rnacentral:rRNA from 1 species
UACAGAGGUCUCAAGCGUUGUUCGGAUUCAUUGGGCGUAAAGGGUGCGUAGGCGGCGCGGUAAGUCGGGUGUGAAAUCUUGGAGCUUAACUCCGAAACUGCAUUCGAUACUGCCGUGCUUGAGGACUGGAGAGGAGACUGGAAUUUACGGUGUAGCGGUGAAAUGCGUAGAUAUUGUAAGGAAGACCAGUGGCGAAGGCGGGGUCUCUGGACAGUUCCUGACGCUGAGGCACGAAGGCCAGGGGAGCAAACGGG